CCAAAACCCCGCCUUCGCACAGGUCAUUUCGUCCUCACAGUCCCCUGAAUGUUGACAUUCGACCGCCCUGACACAAAAAUUUUGAAUUCAAACAGAGAUAGCACCUCCGGUAGUUGCAGUAAUUCUCGGGCUCAAAUCCAACACAUCUCUCUUUCUCGUACAAACAAAUAAACAAUCAGCAAAUCUUCCAAUUUCAGAAUUUCAUAAUUUUAAGUCCUCGGAAUAAAAUCUCAAGAACGAGAAAUGGCUUCAGUCAAGCCUGCAACUCGCUACACCAACAGCCUGAACAGCUCCACGAAAUCCGAUCCUUCCUCGUCCACUAAAUUACCCUCUUCACGGGCCCUCACCAAGAAAAAUGAUUCCACCAACAUUAAUUUCAGUUCCAUGGUCAAGAAAUUGGUCCAUAACAACAAGAAGGCCAAGAAUCUCAACAAGGAGGCCAAAUUCGUUUUGGCGGCCGACUUUCUGGCUAAGGAUUUGAAGAAGAAUGUGAAAAAGGGUACCGGAUUAAGUGGGCUGCACAAGAAGCUGUUUAAGGGGUCGACGGGAUCUUCAAGCAGGGGCAAAAAGAGGAGAGGAGAGUACGAAGAAGGCGUUAACUGAGGUCAGAGGGAAUACGAGGACUCUGGCUAUGGUGCUGAGGAGUGAGAGGGAGCUUUUGAGUAUGAACAAAGAACAGGAGGAGCAGAUUGCUGAACUUAAGCUGUUAGUAGAGGAGAAGAACAGAGAGGUUGAAAAGCUGAAAGAUUUGUGCUUGAAGCAAAGGGAAGAAAUAAAAUGUCUGAAAAGUGCCGUAUUCUUCCCUGAUGUGAUAAAUUCACGCCUUCAAGAGCUUGUGGAGAAGCAAGGUUCAGAACUGAAACAGGCAAAGCAACUUAUUCCUAGUCCUCAGAGGCAGGUCACUUCUCUUACAGGACAAUUACGAUGUCUUGCUGAGGAUCUUGCCGAGGUGAAGGCCAACAAAUAUGCAGGAUGACGGUCAUUUCAGCUCCCCAAGGACACCAUCAUAUGAUCAAGAGGAUGGAGCUAAUCCACCGUUUGAUCAGGAAUUCAGCCUAGGGGAUAACAGAAUCCCUGAGAGCCCAGAUGACCCUGAAAGAUCUGAAUCCCUGCCUUACCCCUUAUUACGCAAAGACAAAAUCCAAGGAAUUUGACUGUUAUGAUUCCCCUGAUGGAUUGUAUGGAAGCACUCUGGAAUCAUUCCAUACAAUCCAUCAUCUUAUGAUACUGAGUUUAAUGCCUGUGGCGGCUGUGGAGCAAAGCUCUUGAAAAGCUCUGAUUGUCGCCAAUCUUCCACGGCAGGAAAUGGUCGCAGGUCUGAUGAAAACAAGUGCAGUAUGGGAGAAAAAUGCAUCAUACACUUAGUUAUAGACAUUAAAAUCUGGGGAGAUCUUCUGAGGCAUUUACUUGGAACAUUUUGGUUGGUAGCUGUAUAUCGUAAGAUGUCUUGGGCCUCUAUUAGAAGGGGAUUUUGGAAUGUAUCUCGACUAUUGUAUGAUAUAAGCAUAUGAACUAUGCAGUUGCAUAAUUACUGCUUUUGCAAGAGCAGUUUGAUGUCCGUUCAGUUUCUUGCAUUUGAAAUGUCUGCAUCUACCCUGAGAUUAAAGUGUUGGCAAGUCUCUUAUUUUACGAGAAGUUCGUCGGCCACAAGAAUUGCAUUCCAUAAAUUGUUCAAAUUUAGUACUAAAGUGAAGAUAGGUAGAGCUGAACUUCUUGUCCAAUAAUACCAAAAACCAAUGGAACAUUCCUUUUCAUUUCUUUUUUCUUUUUUUGGAGAAAAAUGUAAUAAUGCUACAAACAAAAGUUCUGCUGAGGCAGAUUUUUCUCUUCCAAAUGGAAAAAAAGAAAAAACGAAACCCAGCUCUGCAGAUGAUGUCGUUAACCAAACUUCAAUGCUGCAAUUUGCUGACAAGUACUAUAGUCAUUCACAAUGGCAUUGGUAAAAAUUGCUAUAAUCUUUGAACCUGAACCCAUUUCAGAAAAGGUGCUACAGAAGUGUCCCAUAUUAAUGCCAUCUGGAUUCCGGCUGCUAAGUCUUUCUUUCAUCAUCUUACACAGUAAGAUUGAUAAUAUGUAUAGUGGUACGAAUACAUGAACAAAAUUGAACAACUGCCUAUACAAAGACUCUCUACCAAAACUGGAUUCCUGUAGGUAUAGAACCAAAGCCAGGCUACC